CCUACGGAGGCUGCAGUGGGGAAUAUUGGACAAUGGGCGAAAGCCUGAUCCAGCCAUGCCGCGUGUGUGAAGAAGGCCUUCGGGUUGUAAAGCACUUUCAGUGGGGAAGAAAGCCUUGGGGCUAAUACCCUCGAGGAAGGACAUCACCCACAGAAGAAGCACCGGCUAACUCCGUGCCAGCAGCCGCGGUAAUACGGAGGGUGCGAGCGUUAAUCGGAAUUACUGGGCGUAAAGCGCGCGUAGGCGGUCUGAUAAGCCGGUUGUGAAAGCCCCGGGCUCAACCUGGGAACGGCAUCCGGAACUGUCAGGCUAGAGUGCAGGAGAGGAAGGUAGAAUUCCCGGUGUAGCGGUGAAAUGCGUAGAGAUCGGGAGGAAUACCAGUGGCGAAGGCGGCCUUCUGGACUGACACUGACGCUGAGGUGCGAAAGCGUGGGUAGCAAACAGGAUUAGAUACCCUUGUAGUC
rnacentral:rRNA from 1 species